rnacentral:sRNA from 1 species
UGUCCUCGAGAUAGGAGCCGAUCAGCCG